rnacentral:rRNA from 1 species
UACGGAGGGGGCGAGCGUUAUUCGGAAUUAUUGGGCGUAAAGGGCGCGUAGGCGGCUUUACAAGUCAAAGGUGAAAUCCCUCGGCUCAACUGAGGAACUGCCUUUGAAACUGUAAGGCUUGAGGCCGGGAGGGGGUAGCGGAAUUCCCAGUGUAGCGGUGAAAUGCGUAGAUAUCGGGAGGAACACCAGUGGCGAAGGCGACCAUCUGGACGGAUACUGACGCUGAGACGCGAAAGCGUGGGUAGCAAACAGG